CGCUAGGACACGACCCCACCGCCCGCUGGCCAGCCUGAGGGCACCCUCCCGGCGCCGGCUUCGCGGAGGCCAAGCGACAGCCGCCUCCUUAUUGGGAACGGAGAGGGCGGCAGCCGGGCCCGCCCCGCCGAGGCCCGAGGCCCAACGCCGCGACACGGGCCGAGCAGCGGCCAGGCAAGCGCGCGUUCCCCGCACCCGUCCGUGGGUCUGGCCCGGGUCUCCUCACCAGUUCCGCGCACGGGGAGGGGCUGGCAACGGGCCGGAGGGGGCAGCGGCGCCCGAGGAGAGAGCGCGGCCCCGGGCCUCGUGUCACUCACCGUUUGAAAUGCUCGAUGAUCUUCUCUUCCCGCACAUUCUCCGGAUGUUAGAAGGCUAAGCAAGUCCCUGUCUUACUUACACAGUUGCAACAAUUACAGAACAAGAUGUGCUAGCUCAGCCGAUUAACAGUGUUGUGAUUGGGACUACCCUGGUGGCGCAGUGGUUAAGAAUCCACCCGCCAGUGCAGGAGACACGGGUUCGAGCCCUGGUCCGGGAAGAUCCCACAUGCUGCAGAACAACUAAGCCCGUGCGCCACAACUCCUGAGCCUGUGCUCUAGAGCCCGCGAGCCACAGCUACUGAAGCCCGUGCACCUAGAGCCCGUGCUCCUCAAGAAGAGAAGCCACCGCAAUGAGAAGCCCGCGCACCGCAACAAAGAGUAGCCCCUGCUCGCCAGGACUAGAGAAAGCCGGCGUGCAGCAACAAAGACCCAACACAGCCAAAUAAAUACAUAAAUAAUAACGAUGUUGUGAUAGUUUCAGGUACAUAGCAAAGGGACUCAGCCAUACAUAUACAUGUAUCCAUUCUCCCUCAAACUCCCCUCCCAACCAGGCUGCCACAUAGCUUUGAGCAGAGUUCCCUGUGCUAUACAGUAGAUUAUACCUAAUAGUUAGAAUUGUGAAUACAACUUAUUAAUGUUUAUGGCACUGAAUAAAAGAUAGACUGGAAGGAUACUUGCAAAUAUUAAUAAUGGUUGUGCCUAUGUGGUAGAAUUCAAUUUUUUUUCAAGUUCUUAUUCAUCUAUAUUUUCUAAACUUUUCUUUGGUUAACAUAUAUUGCUCUUAUAAUUAGAAAAAGUUACAGUAAAAUGAGCUGGAAGUCAACAUCUGGGUUACUUUAGUUUAGGGCUCCUCUGAAAUGCUGAUACUUCACUACAAUGAAUCAACAUAUUUAUGUUAACAGAUCCCACAUGAACAAAACGUUAUCAUUCUCUAUGUUAAUUCAGAGAGUUCAUUCAACCUUUUAAAAUUCUACUACUAAUCCUCAUGUGAGAAAAAACUUAGCCUCUUCAUUAUAAAUGAUAUACAAUAGCAAAAACACCUCAGGUCUAAGAGAUUGUCACUUAAACAUCAGGAAGUCAGCAGAAUACACAUAAUGCAAA